GAUGAACGCUGGCGGCGUGCCUAAUACAUGCAAGUCGAGCGAACAGACGAGGAGCUUGCUCCUCUGACGUUAGCGGCGGACGGGUGAGUAACACGUGGAUAACCUACCUAUAAGACUGGGAUAACUUCGGGAAACCGGAGCUAAUACCGGAUAAUAUAUUGAACCGCAUGGUUCAAUAGUUAAAGACGGUUUUGCUGUCACUUAUAGAUUGAUCCGCGCCGCAUUAGCUAGUUGGUAAGGUAACGGCUUACCAAGGCGACGAUGCGUAGCCGACCUGAGAGGGUGGUCGGCCACACUGGAACUGAGACACGGUCCAGACUCCUACGGGAGGCAGCAGUAGGGAAUCUUACGCGAUGGGCGAAAGCCUGACGGAGCAACGCCGCGUGAGGGAUGAAGGUCUUCGGAUGGUAAAACGCUGUUAUUAGGGAAGAACAAAUGUGUAAGUAACUAUGCACGUCUUGACGGUACCUAAUCAGAAAGCCACGGCUAACUACGUG
rnacentral:rRNA from 1 species